UAUUAGAAAAUAAUGACUCUAUAUCAUCUUUUACCUCUGUUUCAGCAGUUUCAACAGCUACGGCUUGUAACUUUGAUGAAAUUCUAAGGUUUUUUCUUCUGGGGUUAUUGAAAACAGUACCAAUAGUAGUUUUCACAGAGGUAUUAGAAGAUGGUAUUGAGAUGACACGUGGGCAAAGAAGAUUGGCUCUGCCAGAGAGGAAAGUGGUAGCAAGGUCCAUUCUUGAAAAUUUUCUGGGUAAAAUUUGGAGUUUGAAGAAGUUUAGGGCUGUAAAUAAAGACGUGAUUAAAGGGUAUGAUGAGAAGUAACGUGGUUUUGAGGUGAAUGAGGUU
rnacentral:lncRNA from 1 species